rnacentral:pre_miRNA from 1 species
UUUAAGUGCAGCCGUAAGUUUCCGUGUCCAACGUUUGACCAUCCGUCUUAUUUGAAAAAUUUAUGAAUUUUUUUGAAAAAUUAAGUCACGCAUAAAGUAAUAUUUAUAUUUUAUCAUCUAAUAACAAUAAAAAUAGUAAUAAAAAAUUUCAAAUAAGACGGACGGUCAAAGUUGGACACUAAAACCCACAACUGCGCUUAUU